UACGUAGGGUGCAAGCGUUAAUCGGAAUUACUGGGCGUAAAGCGUGCGUAGGUGGUUCGUUAAGUCUGAUGUGAAAGCCCUGGGCUCAACCUGGGAAUGGCAUUGGAUACUGGCGGACUGGAGUGCGGUAGAGGAUGGCGGAAUUCCCGGUGUAGCAGUGAAAUGCGUAGAGAUCGGGAGGAACAUCCGUGGCGAAGGCGGCUAUCUGGACCAGCACUGACACUGAGGCACGAAAGCGUGGGGAGCAAACAGG
rnacentral:rRNA from 1 species